CCUACGGGUGGCUGCAGUCGAGAAUCAUUCACAAUGGGGGAAACCCUGAUGGUGCGACGCCGCGUGGGGGAAUGAAGCUCUUCGGAUUGUAAACUCCUGUCAUGUGGGAGCAAAUUAAAAAGAUCGUACCACACUAGGAAGAGCCGGCUAACUCUGUGCAAGCAGCGGCGGUAAUACAGAGGUCUCAAGCGUUGUUUGUAAUCAUUGGGCGUAAAGCGUGCGUAGGCUGUUGCGUAAGUCGUGUGUGAAAGGCGCGGGCUCAACCCGCGGAUGGCACAUGAUACUGCGAGACUAGAGUUAAGGAGGGGGAACCGGAAUUCUCGGUGUAGCAGUGAAAUGCGUAGAUAUCGAGAGGAACACUCGUGGCGAAGGCAGGUUCCUGGGCAGUAACUGACGCUGAGGCACGAAGGCCAGGGGAGCGAAAAGGAUUAGAUACCCUUGUAGUC
rnacentral:rRNA from 1 species